rnacentral:rRNA from 1 species
UACGAAGGGGGCUAGCGUUGCUCGGAAUCACUGGGCGUAAAGGGUGCGUAGGCGGGUUUUUAAGUCAGAGGUGAAAUCCUGGAGCUCAACUCCAGAACUGCCUUUGAUACUGAGAAUCUUGAGUUCGGGAGAGGUGAGUGGAACUGCGAGUGUAGAGGUGAAAUUCGUAGAUAUUCGCAAGAACACCAGUGGCGAAGGCGGCUCACUGGACCGGCAUUGACGCUGAGGUGCGAAAGCGUGGGGAGCAAACAGG